AGGUGACCCCAGAAAGUCUACAGACAAGCAACUCAGUGUUAACUCCGGCACUCAACAUUAACUACCCCAUUUUCCUGAAUGAAGAAACGGAUGAAGACUUUGCCAGAUGGGUUAAGUUACGCUACAAUGUGGAACAGCCUGCUAAUUCACUAAGCAAAGGCACCUAUUUGCCCAAGGAGGCUUUGCUCCCUCUCUAGGAAUUAAUGGACAUGGUCUUAGCUCUGAGAAGUUCAUCGUAAAUAAACCAGAAUCCAAAUGCUGAAAAA